GAGAGCCGGAUGCGGUGAAAGUUGCAAGUCCGGUUCGGGGAAGAGUCCGAGCGUCAAACUGCCCCCUACGGGGGCGCGGGUCGGCUCGGGCUUAUUCUAC
rnacentral:ncRNA from 1 species